rnacentral:rRNA from 1 species
UACGAAGGGGGCUAGCGUUGUUCGGAAUUACUGGGCGUAAAGCGCGCGCAGGCGGUCUUCCAAGUCAGUGGUGAAAGCCCGGAGCUCAACUCCGGAACUGCCAUUGAAACUGUAGAGCUAGAGUACGAGAGAGGUGAGUGGAAUUCCCAGUGUAGAGGUGAAAUUCGUAGAUAUUGGGAAGAACACCGGUGGCGAAGGCGGCUCACUGGCUCGUAACUGACGCUCAUGCACGACAGCGUGGGGAUCAAACAGG